UGUUGGCUACAAAUGUCCAACUCAGGAUCCUUAAAAUUCUGGUUUAUUAGGCAGAUUGAAACACUGUAAUGAAGUCAAAUCAUAAACCUUGGGGCUGGUCCCCCCCCCCCCCCACACACACACACAUGCACACACACAGUAGCCAGUUACAAAUGUUUGUGGGGUGGGGCACCAGUCAGGUAUACCUAUCCCACAAGCGCUGGAGUCUGCCGUCGAUGGCCGGUCAAGGCUUCUUCCAGCAUGGUGUUAUCCUCCAGAAGGGGGUCACCAGCUGGUCCUUCUGGCUGGACAGGUGCUGCUCAAGUUGGAGAUCAAGAGGGCACCACUGAGGGUCACUUUUCACCGCUCUUUAUCUGUCCUUUGCAGACUUUGGUGACUCCCUAGUUUUCAGGUUUGCCCAAUCCAGGGGUCGUUGACCCUCGUGGGACUUCCCCCUCGGUAGCUACUGGAUGGCAUCUGUCAGCCCCAGGGUUCAUUCGCAUGUACGUGCAGGUUUGGGAGUCCGUUGAUGAAUUUGGAUUAAUUUACCGUUGUCAUGAAUAGGGCUCUGGGAGCGGUCGAUCUGGAAAUAUUCAGCCCCAAAAGUUGGUCCCCGGUAUUGAUUAGCUCAGACCAGGGCUUCUAGCCCUUGAACAGUGAAGUUUACUUUAGAGAAUUCCCGGUUGCUACAUGGUCUCCUAUUGUUUUCUUCCCUUGGCUGAUCUGCCGUUUCCAUAGGUGUUAAUUGCCUCUUGCUGCUACUGUGUUA